rnacentral:rRNA from 1 species
CACGGGGGGAGCAAGCGUUGUUCGGAAUCACUGGGCGUAAAGGGCGUGUAGGCGGUCUGGUAAGUGGGAUGUGAAAGCCCCCGGCUCACCCGGGGGUCUGCAUUCCAAACUGCCAGACUUGAGUAUGGGAGAGGACAGGGGAAUUCCUGGUGUAGCGGUGAAAUGCGUAGAUAUCAGGAGGAACACCGGUGGCGAAAGCGCCUGUCUGGCCCAAUACUGACGCUGAUGCGCGAAAGCUAGGGGAGCAAACGGG